GGGAAUAUUGGACAAUGGGCGAAAGCCUGAUCCAGCCAUGCCGCGUGUGUGAAGAAGGUCUUCGGAUUGUAAAGCACUUUAAGUUGGGAGGAAGGGCAUUAAUCUAAUACGUUAGUGUUUUGACGUUACCGACAGAAUAAGCACCGGCUAACUUCGUGCCAGCAGCCGCGGUAAUACGAAGGGUGCAAGCGUUAAUCGGAAUUACUGGGCGUAAAGCGCGCGUAGGUGGUUUGUUAAGUUGAAUGUGAAAGCCCCGGGCU
rnacentral:rRNA from 1 species